CCACGCCCGAAGUCGUUACCCCAACCGAAAGGGGGGGGAUGCCUAAGGUAGGACUGAUGACUGGGGUGAAGUCGUAACAAGGUAGCCGUACCGGAAGGUGUGGCUGGAUCACCUCCUUUUAGGGAGACCUAAUCCAUUUAGAAAUCGAAAACAAUGAAAAUUGUCAAUAGAAACUAAAUUGGUCUAACCUAGGUCGUUCGAGAUUGGUAGAUAUCUUUCAAAGUAUUAUUCGGCUUCGUUCAAAACCAUAUAUAAUAAAUGGAAAAAGACAGCACCUAAUUGUCAAAGUUAGACUGCUGGAUGAAAUUCCAGCCAGAACCUUGAAAACUGCAUAAGAGAACGAGAAAAAGCAGGCAGACACAGACAUUUAGAUGGAUGUGAAAGCAAAGAAAUUGUGGUCAAGCUAAUAAGGGCUAAUGGUGGAUACCUAGGCACGCAGAGG
rnacentral:misc_RNA from 1 species